AAUUUCAAGAAAGAAGCCUCAGUAGAGUUGUCGGGCUUUUCAGAAAGUUUUUCGGGUACACAUUUUAAGGGUGAAUCAGCAUUCCAGAAAAAACUUGGUUUCUUGAAAUCUGGAAAAACAAGUGCAAAACAUGCAGGAAUGAAGCAGGGAAUGACAAAAGGGUAAACUACUGUAACAGCUUUUGUCUCAACUACAACAGCUGUUCUGGAAAGUGAAAUAGGAAUGUUGUAAAAAAA